AUUUGAUCCAACGAUCAAGAGUUAAGAUCAAAUAAUAAUCCAAAUGAGUACUUCUCUUGCCAAGGAUAAUCAACCAACCAUCAACCUUUGUUUAGUAGAACAAAACUAUAUUUAUUAAAAAGCAUGCAUGCAUAUUUAUAUUCAAGCACUAGAUUAUCAAUUUUGGAGAGAUAUAAUCAAUGGCUCACAUACACCCAAAAUUAGAGUAGAUGAUUUUGAUGUCUCC
rnacentral:lncRNA from 1 species